GACGGACGCUGGCGGCGUGCCUAAUACAUGCAAGUAGAACGCUGAAGAGAGGAGCUUGCUCUUCUUGGAUGAGUUGCGAACGGGUGAGUAACGCGUAGGUAACCUGCCUGGUAGCGGGGGAUAACUAUUGGAAACGAUAGCUAAUACCGCAUAAAAUUGAUUAUUGCAUGAUAAUUAAUUGAAAGAUGCAACUGCAUCACUACCAGAUGGACCUGCGUUGUAUUAGCUAGUUGGUGAGGUAACGGCUCACCAAGGCGACGAUACAUAGCCGACCUGAGAGGGUGAUCGGCCACACUGGGACUGAGACACGGCCCAGACUCCUACGGGAGGCAGCAGUAGGGAAUCUUCGGCAAUGGGGGGAACCCUGACCGAGCAACGCCGCGUGAGUGAAGAAGGUUUUCGGAUCGUAAAGCUCUGUUGUAAGAGAAGAACGGGUGUGAGAGUGGAAAGUUCACACUGUGACGGUAUCUUACCAGAAAGGGACGGCUAACUACGUG
rnacentral:rRNA from 1 species